UACGUAGGGUGCAAGCGUUGUCCGGAAUUAUUGGGCGUAAAGAGCUCGUAGGCGGUCUGUCGCGUCUGCUGUGAAAACUCAGGGCUUAACCCUGAGCUUGCAGUGGGUACGGGCAGACUAGAGUGCGGUAGGGGAGACUGGAAUUCCUGGUGUAGCGGUGAAAUGCGCAGAUAUCAGGAGGAACACCGGUGGCGAAGGCGGGUCUCUGGGGCCGAUACUGACGCUGAGGAGCGAAAGCGUGGGGGAGCGAACAGG
rnacentral:rRNA from 1 species